rnacentral:rRNA from 2 species
GGGAUGACGUCAAAUCAUCAUGCCCCUUAUGACCUGGGCUGCACACGUGCUACAAUGGUUGGUAGAACGGGAUGCUAUCUCGCGAGAUGACGACAAUCUCUUAAAACCAAUCGCAGUUCGGAUUGUAGGCUGCAACUCGCCUACAUGAAGUCGGAAUCGCUAGUAAUCGCGGAUCAGCAUGCCGCGGUGAAUACGUUCCCGGGCCUUGUACACACCGCCCGUCACACCACGGGAGUUUGCAACACCCGAAGUCGGUGAGGUAACCGCAAGGAGCCAGCCGCCGAAGGUGGGGUAGAUGACUGGGGUGAAGUCGUAACAAGGUAUCCGUACCGGAAGGUGCGGAUGGAUCACCUCCUUUCUAUGGAG